UUUGAGAUCUUAUAUAAUAUUUUGUGUCAAUAUUCGCCGGGUCUUAGGUGUUAUUAGCUGAGAUUGUGUAAGAGCUUAAUUAAUUAAUUUGUGCUAGUAAGUUUUUGUACUCGGGUUCUGAUUCUUUUUAGUCUUCUUGUGGAUGCUUAUAUUAUAUGAAAAUGCUUAUAUUCAUUUGGUUGUGAAACUUAGGGCAAUAAUGAUUGAUGUACCAUUUGAAUCAUAUUAGCUUUGGGUUAUAAUUGAUCUUUCUGAAAGGCUUAUUUUCGACUUUUUUCUAACUCUGGCUUAUCAAAAAUCAUUAGCAGCAAGAAAAAUGACUAAAACAAAAGCUUUAAAUUAUGCCAUUAAGCACGGCAUGUAACUCAUAUCGUCAGGCGGCGUCGCGUUGGCUUGAAACAAGAAAAAGCUGAAGGAGAAACAUGUUAACUGCUUUCUUGCAACUGUGUGUGUGUGUGUUAUUGUUGAUGUGUAGGUGUAUGUGUGUGUGUGUGUGUGUGUGCCUGUGCAUGCAAUGGCGUUUGCAUUAUACGCUCGUAUUUCGCCACAUUCAACAACGCGGCAGACUUGACGGGUGCCAUAACUCAUGCCCCGAUGCCGGAGCCAGUUGAGAGUCCGACUCGGACUCCGAGUCCGAGUCUCUCUGUAUGUGUGUGUGUGUAUGAUGGAGACGGAGCAGCAGUUGUUGCAAUUACAACUGGACACCACAUGCUACAGCUGCCAUGUGCUCAUGUCUGCCAUGUGUGUGUGUGUGGAGUGUGAGUGUGUGAGUGUGUCGGCGUGUGUGUUAAAUAUUGCAAUUUAUCACGCAAAUGCGUUUUUCAAUUUUAACAUGCCGCCAGGCAUCAUAAAAACGUUACAAACCUACAAUAUGAGCCAACACACACAUACAUAGAUGACAGCAACAACAAUAAUACUAGGGGAAUGGGUGGAAGGGGUUCCGUUGUAUACCCCACAAAAGGGAAGUGGCCAGUCCCAUAGAUCUAAAGCACCACACGCUGCCCACGUUGAUGACGGCUCACGUAUCGUUUAUACACAAAAUGUGGAAAAAGAGGGGAAACGAAGUGGAAAUGGGUAGACACAGCUGGGGAGCUAACUUGGAAGCCAAGGUGUACGGCUGGCUGAUGAGAGAUGGUUGAUGGAACACGAGAAGUGCAUUCGCCAAUGUUGCAGCAGCUUAACUUUAAAUAGUCAAAAGUGCCUCAGAUGACGUCUACGAGAUGGCCACGAAUCAGACACGCAAUGCUCAAUCCAUGGAGACCUUAUAGUUGGCCAAAAAGUUGAAAAGCCCCGUUGGGUUUUAUCAUAAAGGUUGCUUAAUUGACCGUCUUUUAUUUACAGUACUAUUAAAGAAAGCAUGCCUGACCCAUAA